ensembl:snRNA U1 U1 spliceosomal RNA
AUACUUACCUAGUAGAGGAGAUACCAUGAUCAUGACGGUGGGUUUCUCAGGGUGAGGCUCAUCUAUUGCACUGUGGGUGUGCUGAUCUCUGCAAUUUCCUUAAAUGUGGGAAACUUGACUGCAUAAUUUGUGGUAGUGGGGGACUGUGUUCAUGCUCUCCCCUG